rnacentral:misc_RNA from 1 species
GAUGAAGAACGUAGCGAAAUGCGAUACGUAAUGUGAAUUGCAGAAUUCAGUGAAUCAUCGAGUCUUUGAACGCACAUUGCGCCCCCUGGUAUUCCGGGGGGCAUGCCUGUCCGAGCGUCAUUGCUGCCCUCAAGCACGGCUUGUGUGUUGGGCCUCCGUCCUCCUCCCGGGGGACGGGCCCGAAAGGCAGCGGCAGCACCGCGUCCGGUCCUCGAGCGUAUGGGGCUUCGUCACCCGCUCUUGUAGGCCCGGCCGGCGCUUGCCGACACAUCAAUCUUUUUUCCAGGUUGACCUCGGAUCAGGUAGGGAUACCCGCUGAACUUAAGCAUAUCAAUAAGCGGAGGA